rnacentral:rRNA from 1 species
AGAGCGAACGCUGGCGGCAGGCCUAACACAUGCAAGUCGAGCGGCCGUAGCAAUACGGCAGCGGCAGACGGGAUAGUAACACGUGGGAACGCGCCCUUCGGUUCGGAAUAACUCAGGGAAACUUGAGCUAAUACCGGAUACGCCCUUACGGGGAAAGAUUUAUUGCCGAAGGAACGGCCCGCGUCCGAUUAGCUAGUUGGUGAGGUAAUGGCUCACCAAGGCUCCGAUCGGUAGCUGGUCUGAGAGGAUGACCAGCAUCACUGGGACUGAGACACGGCCCAGACUCCUACGGGAGGCAGCAGUGGGGAAUAUUGGACAAUGGGCGCAAGCCUGAUCCAGCCAUGCCGCGUGGAUGAUGAAGGCCUUAGGGUUGUAAAGUCCUUUUAACGGGGAAGAUAAUGACGGUACCCGUAGAAUAAGCCCCGGCUAACUUCGUCGCCAGCAGCCGC